GUGGUUCUCAAGCUGGGGUAUCAACUUAGCAAGUGAAAAAGAACAAAGAUGCUUUGAUAAAGGCCAAGAAGUAGCUGAGAUCACUAGUGAAGCUGUUCMAUUUGAGUUUGCRAAAUCUAAAGAGAAGUCUGACAUACGUCUGGCAGCAUGUGCCCGAGUAACUGACUUAAAAUCAGUGAUACAUGGUCACCUGGAAAACAAUUUAAAGCAUAACAGACUUGUCUGGCAUGGAAUAAUUCCCAAAUGAAAUAUGGAUUAAACUUGGAGGGG